GGAAAUCACAGACAUCUUGCAGAAUCCCCUUUGGACCAAUUAUUGAUAAUUAUCUAUGCCAAUGGUAAGGGGUGCCUUUGCCCCUGCCUACUAGUAAUGGUGGGAAGGUGUGCCAUUGGGCAUGGCCUAACAACAUCCCAGACACAGACACCAAAUAAAUAUCCAAAAUUUUUCUCUUGGAUAUGUUCUAGAUAAUAAUACCUCUAUGUGUGUCAAAGUAUAAUGUUGAAAGCUAAUGGUGUGAUAUUUGAAUAAUACAUGGUAUUUAGAAGCUCCUCUAAUACAAGAAACCUGAAAAAGUUAGCGUACAAAAAGUGCAGCAACAAAAGUAAACCAACAUAUUACAAAGGAAAGCAAAGUAUAAAAUGUGAGCUAUCAGCUGAAACAGCCCCUGCUCCUAAAGAUGAUACAAACACAAUCACUUAUUUGAACAAAGGUGCUACAGCAGAGAAAAACUUAAAAGGACAAAGAAAAGAACAGAACUGAUUCACUAUGUUAAGAUACUUGUUGAAUAAGACUAAAGACAAACCUCAACUAAUACUUGAUCAUUUUGAUGAGGACAAUUCUGUGGCCAUAGUGAAGAGAAGCUCCAUCAUUAAUGACUCUGAGGUAGUUGUAGCAGAGGUCUACAAAGUGAAAUCAAGAUAAAAUUUUUAUUCUGCUAAGAUUAUUGAGAUUGGAGAUGAAGAAGUAGUACCCAAAGAUGAAGAGGGUUUUUAUGCUGCAGAAGAAGAUAAUGAUAACUCUAUAUCUAAUUAAUAUGUAAUUUUCUGAUGUACUGGUCAAAAGGAAUUAAUAGAAAAGCUCACAGAAAAGCUUAUAAGAACCCCUAGAAGAGACACAGUAAACAAAAAACUAGAUGAAGUUUUGAAAGAAUUCAAAAUUUCUGAAAUUGCACAAGAUCACUCUGUAAAAUCCAUGGCUAGCAAUUGAAAAUUGCAGCUUCUCCGCUUUGAUUAAUGAAGAUUGAUUCAAGACUCAAUUAUUUCAGUACUUAUAUGUUAUGGCACAUGGUUAUGUAGCCACAUAAAAUCAAUAACUGGCCACACCUAAUAGACUGCAAAUCUAAUUCAAAGCUUAUGAGGCAUUUAAUACUGCAGAAGAAGAUAAUGACAGCUCUGUGUCUAAUGUAUAUGUAAUUUCUGACAUACUGGUGAAAAGGAAUUGAUAGAAAAGCUGAAAGCAGAACUCAUAAGAACCCCUGAAAAAGACACUGUAAUCAAUAAUCUAGACGAGAUUUUGAAAGAAUUCACAUAGGUCCAUUUGUACUAUUAUCUUUAUUGAAUAAAAUUAAUAAGAUUUUACGUUGAUCAUAGAUUAU